UACGUAGGGUGCGAGCGUUAAUCGGAAUUACUGGGCGUAAAGCGUGCGCAGGCGGUUUUGUAAGCCGGAUGUGAAGUCCCCGGGCUUAACCUGGGAAUGGCAUUCGGGACUGCAAGGCUGGAGUGCGGCAGAGGAGACUGGAAUUCCUGGUGUAGCAGUGAAAUGCGUAGAUAUCAGGAGGAACACCGAUGGCGAAGGCAGGUCUCUGGGCUGACACUGACGCUCAUGCACGAAAGCGUGGGGAGCAAACAGG
rnacentral:rRNA from 1 species